rnacentral:rRNA from 1 species
GAGUAACACGUGGGUAAUCUGCCCUGCACUUCGGGAUAAGCCUGGGAAACUGGGUCUAAUACCGGAUAUGAACUCCUGCCGCAUGGUGGGGGUUGGAAAGUUUUUCGGUGCAGGAUGAGCCCGCGGCCUAUCAGCUUGUUGGUGGGGUAAUGGCCUACCAAGGCGACGACGGGUAGCCGGCCUGAGAGGGUGAUCGGCCACACUGGGACUGAGACACGGCCCAGACUCCUACGGGAGGCAGCAGUGGGGAAUAUUGCACAAUGGGCGAAAGCCUGAUGCAGCGACGCCGCGUGGGGGAUGACGGUCUUCGGAUUGUAAACCCCUUUCAGUAGGGACGAAGCGCAAGUGACGGUACCUGCAGAAGAAGCACCGGCUAACUACGUGCCAGCAGCCGCGGUAAUACGUAGGGUGCGAGCGUUGUCCGGAAUUACUGGGCGUAAAGAGCUCGUAGGCGGUUUGUCACGUCGUCUGUGAAAUCCCUCGGCUUAACCGGGGGCGUGCAGGCGAUACGGGCAGACUUGAGUACUACAGGGGAGACUGGAAUUCCUGGUGUAGCGGUGAAAUGCGCAGAUAUCAGGAGGAACACCGGUGGCGAAGGCGGGUCUCUGGGUAGUAACUGACGCUGAGGAGCGAAAGCAUGGGUAGCGAACAGGAUUAGAUACCCUGGUAGUCCAUGCCG